GUGAAAUUAACUUGAGGCGCUGGAGCAUUUGCGAUGACACUAAUUCCACUUUGUUCUUCAAUUGUCUUCAUUACCUUAACAGCUGAAAUCGUCCUAGGCUCCACGGAGCAGCCUCGUCUUGUCUCUGUAAAUAUCGCUGGCUUGAAAAAUAGUUCUAUUGGAACCUGCCAGAUGGGCAAGAUAAAAGGAACUGUGAUGGUUCCUAAACGGGGCGAGAGACUUCCUGAAGGACUACUUCCCCGCCUAGGAAAAUUGGGCAACCCGAAGUUGCCACACCUUUGGGUGGCAGAGCAAGGACAGGUCCCCGCCACCGGCCGCCCCACGCUGGAAGCGCGCGUCCGCGCACCUGGCGCCGGGGCGCCUGAACCACAGUCCCUUGUGGUUCGGAAGAAAGGAAGACCGCGCAGCCCUUGCUCGCCCGUCAGCUUCGUCAGCCCUUUCUAUUUUUCCAGUGCUCCUUACCAUUCCGCCUGGCUCCUUUUCUCUGCCUCCCUCAAGCCUGAUUCCUCCAAAACCACAGGAUCAUUCCGUGAACAGUUAGCACAUAGGGAUCGCAGGGCUGGAGGCUGACAGCAGAUCCUUCUCGAAACUGGUCCGGCAGCCCGUCACAGUCUGGGAUACACCCGAGAGCCACGGUGUCCCUUUGCCUCACUUCAGACUACCUGUCACUCCCACGGUUUCUCCCAAGGAGCAGCUCUCAGCGUUGCGCGUCUGUAGCGCCUCACAGGAGACAGACAGACGUGUUAGAGCCAAAAACACUGUGAUGGGACGAGAUCUCCGCCUUCUAAGGGGCUCAGAAACUGGGGAGGAACUUGACGGGAGUAAAGAGGCCAUGACGAUACAGUGCAAGGAUCACAGUGCUGGAGGGGGCUUGAGACCCCGUUGGCCCAGAGAAGAGUUGGUCAGUCCGGACAACUCAGGAGGGCUUCUCAGGAGAGACACUUAGCUGGUUCUGGGAGAAAGUGGUCCAUAGUAAAACCCACAAAAGUUUAAUGCAACUUUUCAAAUGCUAUUUGAUUUUUUAAAACACACAGACAGCAUUCCACUUACCUGCUGCAAGAAAUUAAUUGAUUCGGAGUUUAUUUGUGAAGCCAGAACAGAUGUAUAUUCACCAAGGGAGGUUGCAUAUGAACUAGUUAACAUCUACCACGUCAAUAUUCAGGAAUAACUGAUGGCCCCAGUAAGAGGUAAGACGAUAGGUAGGUUUUAUUCAAGGUAUUCUAGGAAAGUUUAAAAAAAAAAAAAGUCCAGACUGAGAUAAUUAGAGAAGAUUGGAGCAGAAGAAAAGACAAAACAGAAUAAAAGUAGUUGGCUGAGGAAAUCAGGAUAAUGGUCAUCUAAUCAUUAUAACUAACAACUUUGCCAAAGGUUAAUUUUAUCUCAGCAUAUAACUGUCAACUAUUGACUUUUUCUCUUAUUUAAAAAACAAAUUAUACCUUUUUUAAUACAUGCUUUUAGUUAUAGAACAUUUUAGACAGAUGAAAAGAUGGGGAGAGGCCUGGAGGAUGAAGCCUAAUUCUAUCAUCUCAACAUUGCCACCGUGAUCACUUUGUUAUAUCUCAUGUUAGUCUUUUUCAUAAAGAGUGCUUUUAUUUUCCAUGUUUCUUUAUAAUUACUAUACAUAUAUCAUAGCUACAAAAUAUUGUCUUACUGCUGGAAAUUUCAAUUUCAUCAUUAUAAA
ensembl:lncRNA